AGUGAACGCUGGCGGCGGGCCUAACACAUGCAAGUCGAACGGCAGCACAGUAAGAGCGUGCGCUUACGGGGGGCGGAUGGCGGACGUGAGAGGAAUAUAUCGUAAUCUACUCUUUCGUGUGGGGUAACGUAGGGAAACUUACGCUCAUACCGCAUACGACCUACGGGUGAAAGCAGGGGAACGUCGGACCUUGCGCGAAUGAAUGAGCCGCUGUGGGAUUAGCUAGUUGGGGGGGUAAAGGCCCACGAAGGCGACGAUUCGUAGCUGGUGUGAGAGGAUGGUCGCCCGCACUGGAGCUGAGACGCGGUCCAUGCUCCUACGGGAGGCAGCAGUGGGGAACAUUGGGCAGUGGGGGCAAGCCUGAUCCAGUGGUAGCACGCGGGUGAAGACGGCCUUCGGGUUGUAAAGACCGUUUGUUGGGUAAAAAAAGCUGUAGGUUAAUACCCAGCUGGUCUGACGGUACCCAAAGAAGAAGCACCGGCUAACUUCGUG
rnacentral:rRNA from 1 species